CCUUCGAUAGCUCAGUUGGUAGAGCGGAGGACUGUAGUGGAAAUUAGAUCGCGGGCAUCCUUAGGUCGCUGGUUCGAAUCCGGCUCGAAGGA
rnacentral:tRNA from 1 species